rnacentral:piRNA from 1 species
UAAGAUUACAUUAGCGAUUCA